AGAGUUUGAUCAUGGCUCAGGAUGAACGCUAGCUACAGGCUUAACACAUGCAAGUCGAGGGGAAACGACAUCGGAAGCUUGCUUUUGAUGGGCGUCGACCGGCGCACGGGUGAGUAACGCGUAUCCAACCUGCCCACCACUUGGGGAUAACCUUGCGAAAGUAAGACUAAUACCCAAUGACGUCUCUAGAAGACAUCUGAGGGAGAUUAAAGAUUUAUCGGUGAUGGAUGGGGAUGCGUCUGAUUAGCUUGUUGGCGGGGUAACGGCCCACCAAGGCGACGAUCAGUAGGGGUUCUGAGAGGAAGGUCCCCCACAUUGGAACUGAGACACGGUCCAAACUCUACGGGAGCA
rnacentral:rRNA from 1 species